CACCUCUAGCAUUACUAGUAUUAGAGGCAUUGCCUGCCCAGUGACAUUAGUUAAACGGCCGCGGUAUCCUGACCGUGCAAAGGUAGCAUAAUCAUUUGUUCCUUAAUUAGGGACUUGUAUGAAUGGCCCCACGAGGGUUUGACUGUCUCUUACUUUUGAUCAGUGAAAUUGACCUUCCCGUGAAGAGGCGGAAAUAAAAAAAUAAGACGAGAAGACCCUAUGGAGCUUAAAUUAAUAUGUUCAACAAAAUUAAAAUCUAAUCCAACAGGGAUAAUAAUAUUUUAACUGAACAAUAAAUUUUGGUUGGGGUGACCUCGGAGUACAAAAAAACCUCCGAGCGAUUAAAUCAAGACUUACUAGUCAAAAUUAUGUAAUUAAUUGAUCCAAUCAUAUUGAUCAACGAAACAAGUUACCCUAGGGAUAACAGCGCAAUCCUAUUUGAGAGUUCAUAUCGACAAUAGGGUUUACGACCUCGAUGUUGGAUCAGGACACCCAAAUGGUGCAGCAGCUAUUAAAGGUUCGUUUGUUCAACG
rnacentral:rRNA from 1 species